AUUGAACGCUGGCGGCAUGCCUUACACAUGCAAGUCGAACGGCAGCAUGAUCUAGCUUGCUAGAUUGAUGGCGAGUGGCGAACGGGUGAGUAAUACAUCGGAACGUGCCCUGUAGUGGGGGAUAACUAGUCGAAAGAUUAGCUAAUACCGCAUACGACCUGAGGGUGAAAGUGGGGGACCGCAAGGCCUCAUGCUAUAGGAGCGGCCGAUGUCUGAUUAGCUAGUUGGUGAGGUAAAGGCUCACCAAGGCGACGAUCAGUAGCUGGCCUGAGAGGACGAUCAGCCACACUGGGACUGAGACACGGCCCAGACUCCUACGGGAGGCAGCAGUGGGGAAUUUUGGACAAUGGGCGAAAGCCUGAUCCAGCAAUGCCGCGUGUGUGAAGAAGGCCUUCGGGUUGUAAAGCACUUUUGUCCGGAAAGAAAUGGCUCUGGUUAAUACCUGGGGUCGAUGACGGUACCGGAAGAAUAAGGACCGGCUAACUACGUG
rnacentral:rRNA from 1 species